rnacentral:rRNA from 1 species
AUAUUGGACAAUGGGCGCAAGCCUGAUCCAGCCAUGCCGCGUGAGUGAUGAAGGCCUUAGGGUUGUAAAGCUCUUUUAUCCGGGACGAUAAUGACGGUACCGGAGGAAUAAGCCCCGGCUAACUUCGUGCCAGCAGCCGCGGUAAU